UGUGCAGAGUUCAUAAUCUAAAGGUGUCAAAUCAANAAAAGCAAAUGAGCUCCUAAAAGCAAAAAUAAAUUAAGGCUUAAGCAAAAAUGAAUAACUGAUUGUGGACGCUGCACCUGCAAAGCUAAAUCACGGCUGCUGUAGCACUGCACCUAAUUCAUUCACUGUUUGAAACUAUUAAAAUAAAAAGAAAGAUGCUCAUGCAAAUAUAAAGGAAAGUAAAAUGACAGCAGCGCGUAAAUUUCAUUCUCCCAUUCAUCCAAAAUCCAUCACCAUCAACAUUGGUUCAAAGAAAAUUGCAAUGUGUAAAAAAAAUAAACGUUCCAGCAGCAGUCCUCCUNNAGAGAAUGACGGNUGGUGGGAAUGUUCCUAGGAUCAUGUGUCCUAAAAUUGGGGUGGGGUCCANCCUAAAAAAAAAUAAAACCCUAGGGUGCCAAGUGUCCUACAAUAUUUGGGCCCUCAUAAUUUUUUAACAAUGGCCCAUUGUGCAAAAGUUUGUCCAAAAGUUUAAANAAUUAAAAUUACAAUACAACUAAAUUUAAAAUGUCUAAACGAAGAGUCUUGAAUUUAUUUUGUCUCCUCCA
rnacentral:lncRNA from 1 species